rnacentral:miRNA from 15 species
CAGCAGCCACGACUACCCUGCCAC